AUUAGUAUCAGGCUCCCAAACAAUCAUUGAUGAGUCAGCGGACGAGGACAAAAUCAUUUCCUUCGUGGGGUGCCAAUCAACACUCAUCACCCAAUCCUCAUGACCCAUUAAUAGAGCAUCAAAUACAAUCUUUAGAUCUAUUUUACCUAACGUAAAACGGACUGGUUUAUUAGACAAAACAGAUUCAAAGAAUUCUUCUGAAACCUUUUCGUCCUCACUUCCCCAAAGUGAAAUAUUCCAUAAACGUAUAUAACGAUCUUGACUUCCAGAUGCAAGUGUCGCCGUUGAACCAGAUGUUUUUUUAAAGGAAAGCGUUCGGACCCAGUCAAGAUGACCACGUAAAACGGCUUUCAGCUUGAAGCUACUAAUAGCUGAAUCCGAGCCAUACACCAUUAUCUUCUUACUAGAACCACAAACCGUAAGAAUGAUACCGUGGUCUAGUUUCACAAUAGCGAAUUCAAGGGGUAUAAUCUCAGAACAAGUAAAUCUACUAAUUUCUGUUAAAUUUCUCUGCUCUGCAUUCCAGCUAUACACAAUACAAGAGCUGUUCGAGCAGCCGCAAACUACUAAAUUUUCGUUUACACACAAGCAGUUUACGGUUGCUUCAAGCUCAAUGGUCUUAAUACACGUGAAAUACUCUUCUUCCAAUUGCCAUAGCCGAAGAGUCUUAUCCGAAGCACCAGAGAGUAUAAAAGGGCUUCUAUAUUCGCUAUUAGUAGCUAGCUCACAAACGCAAUUGAUUCUUCCACUAUGCCCCGCCAUCAAGUAAUUGAUUUCUUUGAACUAAUUAUUGGUUAAUUCGUGAUUUGGAGGAUUAACCCAUAAGCAAAUAACACUUAGUUUUACAACAAAAAAUACUUACUGGAUCAGCAACUGCUAUUAAUCUUUCAGCUCCAUAAAUAAGGCCAAGAUUAGAAGACCAUGUUGCUGCAGUUGGUAUACGAUUACAGCCUACAUGUAAAGCCUCAUACUGAAACAUCGCAAAUGCC